UUCAUUUGAAAACACAUUGUGAGAAUGAACAAGAGUUCUUUUGUGUAUACCUUCUCAUGAAUGUGGACUGAAAUGCAUCUUAGAGAAGUUUAUGAGUCAAUCUAGUGGACUGUAUGUCACUAUGAUUCGAAUAUCAAAUCACAUGUUGUCGUCAAACAAGUUAUUUGGGACACCGACUCAUAUAGGCUUUGGUUUGACCAAAUCGAUCAUCCUGAAAGAGAUAUAAUUGUCCAAAUUUUGAGAAAUUCUCAUGGACAUCCAUUCUUCCGCUCAAAAUGAAGACAUUCGGGAUCUAGCUUCUCCAUGAAGCAUGAUGGGGACGCCAUGGUUGUAAAUGGCAGCACCCGGGGACAUUGACGUCACCCAAACACGGCUCCAACUUCCCUGGAUGUCUCAUUGGCCCCUUUUGGAAUGCUCAUUGCUCAUUUUGAAAGCCUAUUUUUUAGCUAAAUUAGGAGUGAGACCCUCCUACCCUGAAUGACAUAAAAGUGAACAUUUCAUUCUUACAUCAAACAAUGUAGAUAGAUACAACCAACUUGGAGACACUUUUUUUGUUAGGACCCACCCUGAAUUUCACCUUGAAACCCGAAGUAAAUCCUGUGGGGACCACCUGUAAGGAAAAUUUACCGAAAAUACGGCAUAACCUCUUUUGAAAGUGGACAACCCUUCCUUAUAAAACACCUACAAACACUUCUAAAAAAUCCAAAUUCAACCUUAUACUCCUGGAGCCUUCGUGCUCCCCAAAGUUACAACACCUCCCAAUUUAUUUACUAAUCUAAUAAUGAUCCCAUAACCACCAAAUCAUAAGUUCAGAGCAAUUCUAACACUGAAGGGAAGAUAAAUAUAAAAAUAAACGGAAUCUAUAUAUGGACUAUGCCUCGACUCGAUGUACGCUCGACCUCAACUAUGCUAACCUGCAAACUGGGCAUUUAAAACUGAAGGGCCCAGGGGAGAAGCAAUUUAAAAACGUUAGAGUGAGUGGACAAAAAUAAAGAAGCAAUUUAAAAACGUUAGAGUGAGUGGACAAAAAUAAAGUUUCAAAGAAACAAGUAUUUAUGAUUUCCCGAUUUAAUUUCUACAGAAAAGUUAUGUUGCAUGAGACAAACUUAAAAGCUUUUAACUUAAAAAUUAACAAAAACGUGACUAGCCUCGCUUGUCACAUCCCGACUCGUAAUUAUUACCUUGAUUACUUGCAUAGUGUUAGCAGGAGUUUUUACCGUCUUCGUUAAUGAUUUUAUAGUUUUCAGGACCCAAGAGAUGUUUAGUAGGACGUUUAUUACAGGGAAAAUUUUACGUAGGAGAAAUUGUUGAAAGCGGUAAAAAGGGUAAAUUUUGGUUAGUAAAAAGGUAAUUUUUAUUUAGGUAUAUUUUUACUGGGGUGUUUUUAGAAUUGGGUUUUAAGGUUAUGGGUGGGGAAAACCGGUUUGGGGGGAAGCCCAAACUCUAUUCUCUCUCUCUUCUUCCCCGAUUCUCUCUCUCUCCCUGCCAGAAGUCUCCCGCCGUCGUCCGGCUGAUCUGGGCCGCCACACCAGUCUCGUUUGGACCGCCGUCUUCUCCUCUCUCUUCCUGGGUUGGUGGUAGCUCCUCUCCCGUCGUCGUUUGGUGGAUAUCAUGGCAAGAGGCUCAGCUGCCCUCUUGCCGAAGCUCCCUCCUCCGGCCACCAUAGCCGGCGAUUCUUAGCUCUUCUUGUAGCUCUCAUCUAGGGUAGUAAUCUCUCAAAAGGAAUCAGCUCGAUUCGUGCUUGGUAAGGAAAAAUGUUUAAUUGAAGUUCUAGGGCUCAAUUUUAUUUUUUGGUUCGAUUACCCUAUCUAGGCUUGGAAUUGGUGUUUGUGCUAGUCAGGGAAGUUGCUGUGUGUGUUGAGAGGAAGGUUGUGCUAAAAUUUGGUGAGCAUUGGAGGUCGCCGGAGUUAGGCUGCCGGCGGAGCAGACGGCGGCGCCGCCUCUUUUGGGUUGUUUUUCUAGCUGAUUAGGUAGAGUAUGAUGAGAGGAGUUCAAAGAUAGAAAGUUUGAGAAUUUUGGUGAAGUAUUGAUCAAGUUUGGGAUUUUGCAACUUCGGUGUUGCCGGAAGGGAAUUAGAGAUGAUCCGACCGUUGGAUUUCUUUAGUCAGGAUCCUAAAGUGCUAGAGUUGACGAAGUGAGGUUGUGUUUGAAGUAUAGUGUGAACCCAAUUAGCUUAACCCAAGUUUGGGUAGUGGGUUAAAGGGAAGGAUUUCGGUUCUUAUAUUAAAGCAUUAAUUUUUCCUAAAUUGGAGUUUGGUUCUAAGUAUUAUUAUUGUGCUAGGAUUCAAAGAGACCUCUCGUGAGUGGACUUUUGUUUUUAAAGUUUAUUGCAUACGAUUUCAAUAGGAAAUAUAAUUAUUAUCUUUAAUUACUAUUGCAAUUUCGAUUGGUUUAUAUGCAUGCGUCUGUGAUUUUGGAAAUGUUUUGUCAAGAUCCACCCCGAAUUUUACCCUAAAACCCAGAGUAAGUCCUGCGGGGACCACCUCCAAAGAAGAUAUUACCGAAAAUUCGGCAUAACCUCUCUUGAAAAUGGACAACCCUUCCUAAAGAAAACCUGCAAACACUUCCAAAAUUUCUCAAUCCAACCUUAACUUCUGGAGCCUACGUGCUCCCCAAACACAACAACCACCAAUAACAAUUUUAAAAAUCAACUUCCAGAUCAACACAUAAUUAUCCAACUAAGAUAACAUAUAUCUUCCUUUAAAUAUUCUAAAAUGUAAUCAUGCCUUCGCCCAAAACCGAAAUAAUAUUAUACAAUAUCCCUAGGGAAAAUCAGAGCUACUAGACACUAAAAAACACUGGUAGGUUAAAUAGGUAAUCUACUGAUGAAAGGUGGUGGAAAUGCAUGUGACUAUGCCUCGCCUCCUACUAGAUCCAACCCGAACUCUGCAGACUGUGCAUUUUAAACGAAGGGCCCAGGGGAAGACAUUUGAAACCGUUAGAGUGAGUGGACAAAAAUAAAUUUAAAAAGAAAUAAAUCUUUAUGCUUUCCCGAUUUAACUUUUAUGGAAAAAUUAAUGGCAUGCAACAAGCUCAAAAGCUUUUAAAAAUUUACCGAAUUUACCGAAACGUGACUAGCCACGCUAGUCACCAACACUUCAUAAAAAUAGAGCCUCUCAGGCUAAAAUAAAAUAUGUAUGUAUUACACUCGUCAUUUCCCUUGUAUGAAUUUUAUGAAGGAAUAAAAGAAAUAGAAAUUCACACAAGAUUACGACGCUUGCGUCUAACGCUCACAUCGCGCCAUAAUGGAAUUUUACCUCAUUAUGACGGAAAAACACGAGCGUAUAUAUACGCGCAUAUCCCCUAUAUAAAUUCUUAUAUUUACAUAGGGGUAUGACGAUUGCGUCUAACGCUCACGUCGCGCCAUAAUGAAAUUUUUACCUCAUUAUGACAGAAAAGCACGUAUAGCUAGCUAACAUUUAUUUAUAUACAUACUAUUCUCAUAAUCAUCCAAAUAUGGAUAUAUAUAUACUCACCGAAAUUCUCAAUUUCGGUUAUUCUCUAACAACAUAAAUUAUUUCGCAUGUUUAUUAUUUAAAAUAAAAGUCCACUCACAAAAUUGGCCUAAGCCUGAUGUCGAUCCGAGGCCUCUUCUGCUCGAGCCUCCUCACGUCCUGUUCCAAAUAUACAAUUAAAUUACCAACCAAAAAUCCAUUACUUACUCAAAAAUAGGCAAAUUAAACAUGAGCCGUACCCACGCUCAUUCUCGCCUAACUUCGAUAUUCCUAAAUCGAAACGAUCCAAACUUUAAUACCAUAAUCGACAGCCAUAAAUACAACCUCUCCCAGAAUAACGACUUAAAUCCUACAGCCGGAUUCUACAUUAAUUAACCGCCAAAAAUACCAAACUUCAGAAAUUCACAAACCUAUCCAAAACUCAUCCAAAAAUUUCAUAAUUCACAUCAAUAAACUCCCUUUAAUAUUCCACAUUUAAAUCCAUAAAAACUCCCAAACAGCGGCGCCCGGAGGCCGACUCCGGUGACCUCCAAUGCCUAUGAAAUUUUGACAGCAUCUUCCUCUCAACCCACUCUACAACUUUCCUAACUAGCACAAACAUCAAUUCUCAGCCUAACUAGGGUAAUCGAAUCAAAACGUCCUAAAAACCCUAGAAAAUUCAACUCCACAUUUCUCCUUACCUAGCUCAAGAGAGGGUGAGCCCUGUGCAGGGAUUGAUGCACGGGACGAGAGCUUUCCAACGAACCAAGAAUUGCCAGCUAUGGCGGCCGGACGAGAGGGCUCCGGUGAGAAAACAGUUGGCCCUUCGGGACGAGUUUCCUCCCGUUCGGCGGCGCUACAGCAGUGCUCACCGGCCUAGGGUGAGAGAGGAGGAGACGCCGGUCCUAACAGGACCGGUGCGGCAGCCUUGCUCGGCCGGACGAAGGCGGCGAGCGCUGGACUUCUGGCAGAGGAAGAGAGAGCUCAGGAGAGAGAGAGAACCAGGAGGAAAAAGAGAGGGAAGAGAGAAGAGAAAAAUGGUUUUGGGCCUCUAACCCCAAACUGGGCCAACACUUAAUACCCACAUAACCAACAACAAAUAAAACAUCCCAACCAAAAAUAAACCCCAAAACAAUUACCUUUUACUAGCUAAAAAUUUACCAUUUUUACCGUCGUCACAUUUUCUCCUACGAAUAAUUCCACGAAAUAAUCGUCCCUCAAAACCCCUAUAGGGACCAAUUAGACUAUAACCUCAUUGACGGAGAUGCACUACCAGGACAAGCACUUUAGCCGACGAAAAAUUUUCGUCGGCCUGUUAUCUUAAUUCGUCGGCUAAGAUCUUAGCCGACGAAGGCUCGUUGGCUAUAGUGUCGUCGGGAAAAGGUCGUCGGUGAUGACUUUAGCCGACGAAAUUUUUUUUUCGUCGGCUAUAGUCCCACAGUUAGCCGACGAAAAACAUGUCGUCGGUUUNNNNNNNNNNNNNNNNNNNNAACUCUUUUGAAAAUUUUGGUUGACCGCCAAAAAAUUUUGGUUGAAAAUUUUGAAAUUUUGAAAAUUUUUCGACUUUAGCCGACGACUUUUCAUAUAUUUUCGUCGGCUAAAGUCCUUUGAAAAUUUUCCUCCAACUUUGGUUUACCGCCUAAAAAAUUUUGAAAUUUUUUGACCUUAGCCGACGACUUUUCAUAUAUUUUUGUCGGCUAAAGUCUAUAAAUUCACGAAAACGCUCAUAUCUCCCCCUAUAUUACGUAAUUUGGUCAAACCUUCCACACAAAAAACUCUCACGUAGAUGAGACGCAACUGCCCAUACAAAAAUUUUGAGACAUUUACCUUCCGACAAUAGGGCUCCCCAUAAGGAAUAAUAACGGUAAAUAGGGUUGACCGCUACUAUCGGCUCCGAGACUUUACCCGAUUUAUGUGAUUUUUGAACCAUAGCCGUAUUUCACCAUUUUGAACACAUCUUAUUUCACGAGAUUUUUCAUAAUUUUGCUUCCUAUGUAGAGUUGGUUCACAAAGUUGUAUAACCUACUAAACAAGUUAAAUAACAUUAGUAGACACGUUGUGAUUCCGAUGACUAAAAUUCACAAACCAAAAUUCGACCGUCAGAUAUGAUCAUUAUGACGAAAUAUGUCUAUGGUAAAAAAUUCAACUGGAUCCGACAACGUUAAGGGCUCGAUCGAAACGGUCAACCAUAAUCCAUCGUCACUUAUCACACGAAAACGCUCAUAUCUCCCUCUAUAUUACGUAGUUUGGUCAAACCUUCCACACAAAAAACUCUCACGUAGAUGAGACGAAACUGCCCAUAUAAAAAUUUUGAGACAUUUACCUUCCAACGAUAGGGCUCCCCAUAAACCCGAAUAACGGUAAAUAGUAGACACGUUGUGAUUCCGAUGACUAAAAUUCACAAACCAAAAUUCGACCGUCAGAUAUGAUCAUUAUGACGAAAGAUGUCUAUGGUAAAAAAUUCAACUAGAUCCGACAACGUUAAGGGCUCGAUCGAAAGGGUCAACUCUAAUCGAAAAUAAGAAAACUGCAUUUUGAAGCCCUAAACGGACUCAGAUGGCCAAAAAAGCCGAUACAGCAUGGCAUUAGCGAUGAGUUUGACUCGUAGCGCCGUUACGCUUCCGGAAAGGUAUCACAAUAGUCAAUCAGACACCAAACGCCAAAUCUGCAGCAUAGUGAAUAAUAAGGGUAAGUCAACUAUCGGCACCGAGACUUUUUCCGGAAUACUGUGAUUUUUCAACCGUAGACGUAUUUCACCGUUCUGGUCAUAUCUUAUUUCACGACUUUUUUGCGUUUGAAGGUUCUACGUAUAGUUUUUUUUUCUCAGAUGAGUUGUUGUCUAGAUCUGUAAAUAUAAUGCACUUUAGCCGACGAAAUUAUAUUUUUUCGUCGGCUAAACUUUUAAACAUUUCAUCGGCUAAAGUUCACAGACUAUAGCCGACGAAAAAAAUUAUUCAGCCGACGAAAUAUUAAUUUCGUCGGCUAAAGUUGACCAUAGCCGACGAAAAUUUUAAAUUAGCCGACGAAAAAAAAUUCGUCGGCUAAAGUGGACUUUAGCCGACGAAAAAAAAAUUCGUCGGCCUGUUUUUUUUUUUUCGUCGGCUAAAGCCUUUCUUCUGGUAGUGAUGGUAAAAUUCUUAUUAAAUACCAAGCUAGUAAAUAAGGUAAAAAUUUAAGAGUCGGGAUGUAACAUGGUUAAUGCAUGGUGAUAUGUGAUGUAUGAACAUGUGAUGCUUUGAGUGGUGAUAUCGAGAUGAAUAUUGUUUGGGUUGAUAGAUGGAUUUCAAUUUGGAGAUUCGAUUGAAUUAUGAUUUGUGGGCUUGUUGUGUUCUUUUGGCUUGAAAGGUUAUUUUGAAAUAUAUAGAUAUACAUGUAUAUAUAUAUAUACAGGCCCAUUCUGGUGCAGACGUCUCUCCGUUUGCCACCGGACGGCGCUGGCGACGGCGAGCCUCCACCGUAGCGGACUCCAACAGUGUCCCCGACCACUUUCCCUCCCCGGCGAGUCCGCCGAAUUCCAGUUUUCCGACGAGAUCAUCCAAAACUUCAAACAAAAUCAAUCUCGCCGGAAAACUAGAAUUUGACAGACUCGCCGAGGAGGGAAAGUGGUUGGGCCAUUAGAAGAGAGGGGAUGUACUAGUGGACCCUAGGAGUUAGACACCAGAAGAGAGGGGAUGCACUGGUGGCACCAGAAGAGAGGGGAUGUAUUGGUGUGUGCGUAUAGGAGUGUCGGGCCACUAGAAGAGAGGGGAUGUACUAGUGGGCCCCAGGAGUUAGACACCAGGAGAGAGGGGAUGAACUGGUGGCACCAAAAGACAAGGGAUGUACUGGUGUGUGAGUAUAGGAGUGUCGGUGUGUUUAGGGUUUAAUUGAGAGCAAGUUGUUGAAGUAUACGACGGUUUAAUUGCAGAGUGAAUGUGAUGAUUUAUUAAGUCAAAUUCGUUAAUAUCAAGUGCGGAUUGCGACUUAUUUAUGAAUAUCUAGGAUGUAAGUAUAAUAAUUUAGACCCCUGUAAUAUUUUUAGUGGGAGAGCGGUUGUGGCUACAGAGUUGGUUGUAUGCUCUAGCGGUUUGUAUGAUAUGUUGGUUUGUAGUGAUUACUGUUUCUUACAGGUCAAGGUUGUCCACUUUUAGGGAAAGUUAUGCCGAACUCUCGGUAGAAUUUCCUUUUGAGGUGGUCCCCGCAAGAUCUUCUCGGAUUUCAGGGUGAAAUUCGGGACGGGUCCUGUCCCGCUAGUCUCCCGUACUUUGUAAUAAAGAGCCUCUCAAGCUAAUAUAUAUAUAUAUAUAUAUAUAUAUNNNNNNNNNNNNNNNNNNNNAAAAAUUUGAUCGGGGAAGUUGGUGUAAUGCCAUAUCCCUAGAAAUGGCUAAAAAUAG
rnacentral:lncRNA from 1 species